UUGAACCUGGAGUUUGCCAUGUCAGUUAGACUGGUUGGUCAGAAGACUGCUGGGUCUGUCUGUCUCCAUUCCCAUUGCUGGUAUCGUAGACUAUUGGUGAAAUUAUUAAGGCCACUCCACGUAGUUAAAAGGGAGGUUUAUUUUGUGGGGUAACUUACAAGUGAAGGGAUAGUUUGCAGGGUCUGGAAAAGGUGUGGCGCGCAACCCAGCGGUGUUCUCUGGAGAACUCUGCUCGGUCUACCUCCAGCGUCCAGGGUCCAGGAACCAAGCGAGCAGGGGGCGUCCGGAUCUCGGGUCGUCAGGUUCUUCCUUGGCCCUGCCUUGUAGGCGUGACAGUAACCGCAGCCUCAAUGGGGGUUGGAUCUUCCAGAUCAAAGCUGGAAUGGCUACCCACUACAAUAGACAUGGCUGACUUUUAUGUGGGUUCCAUACUUAAGCCACUACAAUAGACGUGGCUGACUUUUAUGUGGGUUCCAUACUUAAGCCUCCAUGUUUGUGCAGCAAGCACUUUACAUGCUCAGACAUCUCUCUAGUCCUUUGCCUUAAAAGUAUUCCCUCUCUGAACCUUUCUCUCUUACCAUACAAAGAACACCAUACACCAUCCCUCUUUCUACCUUAUGAAAAGUCUAGUUGAAAAAAAUCUUUGUGUCUGUAGCCUGUCAGGGGUAAAUUGAGUAGAAAAUUAUUCAUACUCUGGAAAAACCAAAUGCUAAUAUGGACAUUUUUAUUAAAUGCCCUAAGAAACUACAGAUGUUUGAGUAAAUUCCACUGAUUGCUUUGGCUUGACCUCUUCUCACUGCCCCUUACACAGAUGACUGAAAUCUUUUCACUGAUCUCACCUUGUGUUAUCAGUUUCAUAACAGGAGGCUUUUGUGGAAUCCAUGACUUUAGCAUUAAUGAAUUUCCUCUCUCUUUCCCUUCCCGUGUCCCCCACCUGCUGACAACAGCUCUCUAUGCAAUUCUGUGAGCAGGAAAAUGCAGCAAGACUCUCCUUCAUUAAAUAGGACACCUCAUUCAGGUCACUCACACAGCUCAUUUUAAAUAAAUUGAAUCAAUUUAUGCCUAUUAGCUACUUGUCCUUGAACUAAGAUAAUAUGGACUGUUCAGGUAUCACUCCGAGAAAGAAGUAGGGGAGUAAAAAAAAAAAAAUCACAAAAUAUUCCAAAAGUGGUAUUGUACAGAACCUUGCUUUAAUAGAACUAAGAAAGAAAUGUCUAUUACUCUUAAUAAACAGGCAUUUUUAAUUACAAAUGCAAUAACAUAGUUAUUACAAUAACAUAGUAUGUUAUUGGAGAAAAGUCUUAGGAAAGUCUGAACAUUUGAAUAUGUUUAUUGUGGGGUUUUAUUGUUGAUUUUUUUUGAAAUGAGUGAAGUGCUAUGAAUAAGGCUUAUGAAUAAUUGCUAAGUCCAGAUACCUGAGGCUUCUGUUUUCACCUAGGGAAGCUCUUGUAAGAAUAAAGCCUUAAGUGAAUGAGUAAGUCAAACAAAUCUAUAAGCUGAUUCAUAGAUGGGAGUUACUUAUAAGAGUGGCAUAAAAAAAUGUUUGAUUAAACAGAGUUUAAAUUUGGUUCAGAUAGAUAAUCACUGCAUUGUCCUUUUCUGAUGAUGCAUGUGUUCUAACAAGUUUCUUUCCUAUGUAUUUUAAUGCAAUCUGCAUCUUCAUUUAGUUAAUUCCGAUAUUGCCACUGUUAUCAUUGUGGCCCACUUUUCUCCAGUGUUUCAAGCUCCCCUCUCUGUCUGGGAAUAUGGGAUGAUCUCUCUUUUCUUUCUUUUUUAAGUUUAGCAUGACAUGUUGUGGUGGUAUUGUGUUCCCCAAAAUAUUGUGCACCCUAAUAAACUUAUCUGGGGUCAGAGAACAGAACAGAGACUAGAUACAGAGGCCAGAAAAUGGUGGCACACACACCUUUAAUCCUAUCACUUGGGAGGCAGAGAUCCAUCCGGAUCUCUGUGAGUUCAAGGCCACACUGGAAACAGCCAGGAAUGGUGACUCACGCCUUUAAUGCCAGGGAGUGAUGGCAGAAAGCAGAAAGGUAUAUAAGGCGUGAGAACCAGGAAGGUUGGUUAAGCUUUUAGGCUUUGGAGCAGCACAGUUCAGCUGAGACCCAUUCGGACGAGGACUCAGAGGCUUUCAGUCUGAGGAAACAGGAUCAGCUGAGGAAUUGGCGAGGUGAGGAAGCUGUGGCUUGUUCUGUCUCUCUAGUCUUCCAGCUUUCACCCCAAUACCAUGCCCCAGGUUUGUUUUUAUUAAAAAGACCUGUUAAGAUUCGCGCUACAUCUGGCACCCAACAUUUGUGGUACGAAUUCAUGAAAAAGCCGCUUGCCUGUAGCCUUGCAGCCCCAGCUCAGACCUGAGCUACCCUCAACCGGUUGUGGUGGAGCACACUGGUUGGAUUUACUGAAGGGGGCAGAGGCAGGAGGAUCCCGAGUUUGAGGCAGGAGGCUUGCUAAGGAGAAGCUACGGCCGGGGCCCAGCCACAAACAGUAGCGGUGGGACCAUGAAGGCAGCGGCUGCUGCUCUGAGUUGCUGGCUCCUUCUCAUCGUGUUGGUGACUGCGGUGAUGCUGCUACCUGGGACCAAGGGUUUACUGCUCCUUGUUCAGAGAAGAAUAGCCAGGACCAUCAUGUUACAAGAAAGCAUCGACAAAGACACUUCAACUGUGCAACCUUACCAAGUACUCCCAUCCUGCCAUGUGGAGAUCUCCAUCCCAUUUUACAGACACACAUCUGAAACCAUUCAUCGUCAAACUCCUCAGCAGAGGCUUGAUCCUCAUGAGCCCUUUCCUCAUCUGUGAUGGAAUGGUGAAAGAGUUCCAUUUUGUGCAGGCCUUGUACAGUAGCCUAUUGCCUGAAGCAAGAAAAUGGAGUUUCAAAGGAAAAUGUCAGCAUUAAUAGACAGGCACUCUAAGUGAGGCAGAUAGCAGUGUUCCAAGGUGAUCUGAAGUUCAUCCUACCUCUUAAGUGAAAACCACAUACUGAAGAAUUGAGAAGACGUGUUCUGUUACCAAGUCUUCACAUUUUCCUCUAAAUAAAUGACAAUACAAGUCACCAUAUGCAACCAGAGAUAAGGAAGGAGAUGGCAGUCACUGUGCAGCCCAGAGAAAAGGAAAGAGAACUGUAUUUCACUGUUUGGAAGCCAGCAACUACGUGGAUUACUUAGGAAUCUUCUGCAUGAGACAGGGCCUCUCACAGAACCUGGAACUCAUUGAUUCAGUUAGACUGGCUACCCAGUUAGCUGUGCCCAGAGAUCCUUCUUCUUUGCCUUCGCAGGUCUGAGAUUACAGAUGCACACUGAGACACUGAUGGUGUUAAAGAUCUGAACCCAGACUCUUGAACUUUUAUAACAAGCCCUUUACUAAACAAAUCAUCUCCUUAUCUCUAAGUACACGUAUUUGACGCUCUGCCAGCUUGUUCACAGUGGUUUUGCAGUAAUCCCAUGUGAGUUAUAAUGGUAAUCUCAUUGUUUUUGUUUGCUUUUUUGUUUUUGUUGUUAUGAGCCAUUGACUCCCUCUGUAGACAGGCUGUUCCCAAAGCCAGGAGACCUUUGUCCCAGCCUCUCAAAUGCUAGAAUUUUAUUCAUGUGCCACCACCUUCAACUUCAUUGUUAUUUUUCUUGAAUCUUAAAUUAUGUGCCAAUAAUUUAAUGUGCUUAUCUAGUAUCUCUAGAUGAUUUUAUUAGACAUUCCUUUACAUAUAUAGUCUCUAUGAGCAUCUUUACUGUCUUACAAAUGUCUUUCACAUAUCAGAAAUGCUUGAUUUUUGUCAAACUCUAUUAAUUUCUUUUCUUUCAGGCAUUACAAUAUUAUAUCUUUGCUUUCCUUAUUCUUUGAUAAAUUUAUACAUUUAUAAUAUUUUUUAGUUAUUUGUACUCCUCAUUCCUGUCUUAUAUCUCCUUCUUUCCCCUACAGAAAUUCUUCUUUCCAACAAGCUCCACUUCAACUUUGUCUCAUGUUUAUGGGUAACCCAAUGGUUUAAUUAGGGUUGUUUUCACAGCAUAGGUGAGAGGUUAUUUACAAGACCAUGAGCAUUCCAUCAGAGUCUGCACUAUAUAAAAUGGCACUGCAUACCUCAGUAGCCAUUAACUGUCAAGAGACAUUCUGAGAGGUGUGGGGUUCCCUCCCCCACCAAAUCUUGACAUAAUUAACUGUGUGUACAUCUUGUGUAGAUAAUCUGAACUUCAGUGAAGUCAUGAAUGCCACAGUGACCCUGUGUCCGGAAAAACAUCGUUUGGUUGCACAUUUCUCCAUCCUUUAGCUCUGUAAGUUUUUCUGUUCCCUCUUUCUGAGACAUUCACUGGACCUUGGAGGGAACAAGAUAGAUGUCAGCACUUGGACCAGCAAUGGGUUUCUGCAUUAACCAUUUCCUGCUACAAUAAGAAAUUUCUAUGGUGAAGGCAGAAUAGAGUACUAACCUAUAGAUAUAAGCAUCAAUAUUUAAAAAACGCUUUGACAACAUGUUUAUUUAGCGAAAUAGUAGUGAUAGGUUCUUCUUUGGGGCUAUGGCCUCCCCAGCCAAGGGCUCUUGACCAAGUUGACUGAAGCAGACAUAAGUUUUCUCUUGUGGAGUGGGCCUCAAAUACAAUUAGAAACCAGUUGGUUAUCCCACAAACAACCAUGCCACUAUUAUAUCAGAGUACACCUUUUUCCUGGAAGAUUGUUAUUUUUGCCCUCAGGUUUGGCAGCUCUGUAACAUUGUUGAUGACUCUCCUUUCCCAGGAGCCUGCAUGACAUACUCUAACACUCUGAAAGCUAACCAUUAGAAAGGAAGGUCACAGCUCACUGCCACCUGUUUUCUUUUUGUCCUAUAACCAAAGUAUAUGAUGUUUUCCACAGUAAGUUCUGGCAUGUCAUUUAGAAAAAUGACAGUCUCUUCUAUUGUUCGGGAGGCCCCUGGGAACACUACCCAUCAGGCUGAGCUUGAAAUAGUAUCAUAUUUUGCUUUUACUUUGUAUUUCUGGUAUGGCAAUGGCUUA